rnacentral:rRNA from 1 species
UGGGGAAUAUUGGACAAUGGGCGAAAGCCUGACCCAGCCAUGCCGCGUGUGUGAAGAAGGUCUUCGGAUUGUAAAGCACUUUAAGUUGGGAGGAAGGGCAGUAAGCGAAUACCUUGCUGUUUUGACGUUACCGACAGAAUAAGCACCGGCUAACUCUGUGCCAGCAGCCGCGGUAAUACAGAGGGUGCAAGCGUUAAUCGGAAUUACUGGGCGUAAAGCGCGCGUAGGUGGUUCGUUAAGUUGAAUGUGAAAGCCCCGGGCUCAACCUGGGAACUGCAUCCAGAACUGGCGAGCUAGAGGAGGGCAGAGGGUGGUGGAAUUUCCUGUGUAGCGGUGAAAUGCGUAGAUAUAGGAAGGAAAAACAGUGGCGAAGGCGACCACCUGAGCUCAUACUGACACUGAGGUGCGAAAGCGUGGGGAGCAAACAGG